rnacentral:tRNA from 3 species
GCCGCUAUGGUGAAAUUGGUAGACACGCUGCUCUUAGGAGGCAGUGCUCGCGCAUCUCGGUUCAAGUCCGAGUAGCGGCA